rnacentral:misc_RNA from 1 species
UUUCCGUAGGUGAACCUGCGGAAGGAUCAUUAUUGAAUUUAAUGAGGAGUUGGUUGUUGCUGGCCUUGGGAUUUUUUUAAUUAAUUAUUCCGGGCACUUGUGCACGCCUUCUCUUUCAUCCACACACACCUGUGCACUUGUGAGGCAGAUGCUGGAGUUCUUUAUUAAUUUAUUGGACUCCUAACUCUGUCUACUUAAUUUACACACACUCUAUUUAAUUUAAACUGAAUGUAAUUGAUGUAACGCAUCUAAUACUAAGUUUCAACAACGGAUCUCUUGGCUCUCGCAUCGAUGAAGAACGCAGC